AAAGUGAUUCGGGAUGUCAACAAAUGUCGAGAAACUCACUCCUCACAGCGCUUCCUCAUUACCCUGACGGUGCUCGCUGCACUACAUAGAGAACCGGAAAAUGUUUUGUCCGUUUUGUGGCGUUAGCUUCAGCCUCUUCACCCCUUUUUGUGCUUCCUGUGGACGUUCUCUGGAGCUUUUGCGGCACACAGACCAGGCUGAAGGGUCAGACUCCCCAGGGACAUCAAAACAAACAGAAAAUUCUGAACAAAAGCAAACAUGUCCGUCAUACAAGCAGUUCAUGGAGUACAAAAGAUCAAAAUCCAUAGAGCGUCAGGCCUUCAGCUGUAGAGCAAAAUUAAAACUCAAGCAACAGAGUAAACCUGUCAAGGAUUAAUGGUGUCACAACAAACGGACUUAAAACCGCUAAGAGGGAAAACACUGCCCUUAUUUAUCAGCCCCGAAAUUACAGCCCCUGACCUCCUGAAGCAGGCUGUAGAAAAAAUGAGAACAUUCAACAAGGACUUGGUGGAGGGACCAUAUGUCCUUUUGUAUCCCGACUGCACAGAGGUGAUAAAUGUGCCUGGGACAGAAAGGCCAUUCCGAUUGGCAGACUACAAAGAGGAAAUAGGAAAGAACUACAACAGGAUUUCUCUUUUCAUUUGCCUAGAGAGCCACUUCAAACAAGGUUCGUUAAUUUUAUAUUUUGAUGUGUUUACAUAUACAGCAACUAAUAAUGUGUUUAUUUUCUCAGCUCUGAUUGCAGAGGAUGGUACCUCAGACUCAGACCCUGAGAUUGUGAUUACAUCAAGAAGCACAGCUGAGUUCAACCAGGCAGACAC